UGGAAGUAAAAGUCGUAACAAGGUCUCCGUUGGUGAACCAGCGGAGGGAUCAUUACAGGACGUAACACUCCCGUAAACCACUGUGAACCUUACCUAUCGUCGUUGCCUCGGCGGGUGCCUCCGGGCGCCCGCCGCAGGCCUACAACUCUUGUCUAUGAAGUUAGCAUCUCCGAGCAAACAGCAAACGAGUUAAAACUUUCAACAACGGAUCUCUUGGUUCUGGCAUCGAUGAAGAACGCAGCGAAAUGCGAUAAGUAAUGUGAAUUGCAGAAUUCAGUGAAUCAUCGAAUCUUUGAACGCACAUUGCGCCCGCCGGCACUCCGGCGGGCAUGCCUGUUCGAGCGUCAUUUCAACCCUCAGGCCCGGCCUGGCGUUGGGGUCCUGCGUCGCAGGCCCCUAAAGACAGCGGCGGUUGCGGCCCGGAGCCGAGCGCAGUAGCAUACUAUUCGCUCCGGUACCGGGUGGCAGUCCGGCCGUAAAACAAACCACUAUGCACUGGUUGACCUCGGAUCAGGUAGGAAUACCCGCUGAACUUAAGCAUAUCAAUAASCCGGAGGAAA
rnacentral:rRNA from 1 species